rnacentral:rRNA from 1 species
AAAACAAAAGCGUCACAGCAAAAAGACCAAAAAUCCCACGGCGCCUUUCAACAUCCUAGAAAAACACUGAGCCACACUAUAAAUAUAGACGAACUAAUGUUAAAACUAGUAACAAGAAACUUUCUCCCAGCACCUCCGUGACCCAGAAAUAGACACCCUACUGGACAUUAACAGACCAAAAAAGGUACGACCCCCCCCGUCCUAUCAACUGUCAAACCAACACUGGCGUGCUAAAAAGACAGAUUAAAAGUCAUAUAAGGAACUCAGCAAAAUUUGUCUCAACUGUUUACCAAAAACAUAGCCUUUAGCCAAACAAGUAUUAAAGGUCCCGCCUGCCCAGUGAAAUUUUUUAACGGCCGCGGUAUUCUAACCGUGCAAAGGUAGCGUAAUCACUUGUCUUCUAAAUAAAGACCAGUAUGAACGGCUAAAUGAAGACAAACCUGUCUCUUAUGAUCAAUCAGUGAAACUGAUCUUUCAGUACAAAAGCUGAAAUAUCCCCAUAAGACGAGAAGACCCUGUGGAGCUUAAAACAAACCACUACGCCCUUAAUGGGUACUAGUAUAAUGUUUUAAGUUGGGGCGACUUCGGAACAAAACAAAACUUCCGAGCACGGAGACACCCCCCCUCCAACCACGGCCAACAAGCCAAAGCCAAAGACCCGACCCGGCCCCGCCGAACAACGAACCAAGUUACCCCAGGGAUAACAGCGCUAUCUUCUUCAAGAGUCCCUAUCGACAAGAAGGUUUACGACCUCGAUGUUGGAUCAGGACACCCAAAUGGUGCAGCCGCUAUUAAAGGUUCGUUUGUUCAACGAUUAAUAGUCCUACGUGAUCUGAGUUCCAGACCGGA